GACGAACGCUGGCGGCGUGCUUAACACAUGCAAGUCGAACGGAAAGGCCCUGCUUGCAGGGUGCUCGAGUGGCGAACGGGUGAGUAACACGUGGGUGAUCUGCCCCUUACUUUGGGAUAAGCCUGGGAAACUGGGUCUAAUACUGGAUAGGACCAUGCUGUAGGUGGUGUGGUGGAAAGAUUAGUUUCGGUAAGGGAUGAGCUCGCGGCCUAUCAGCUUGUUGGUGGGGUAAUGGCCUACCAAGGCGUCGACGGGUAGCCGGCCUGAGAGGGUGGACGGCCACAUUGGGACUGAGAUACGGCCCAGACUCCUACGGGAGGCAGCAGUGGGGAAUAUUGCACAAUGGGCGCAAGCCUGAUGCAGCGACGCCGCGUGGGGGAUGACGGCCUUCGGGUUGUAAACUCCUUUCAGCCAUGACGAAGCCCUUGUGGUGACGGUAGUGGUAGAAGAAGCACCGGCUAACUACGUC
rnacentral:rRNA from 1 species